CUCAGCUAAGCUUCUCCAAAAGCCCAUGCCUCCUGUGGAGAAUAAGCCCACUCCACAUUAUAGAUGGGGAACAUGCAUCAGGGGAUUUUUAAGGUAACCGACCCCUAUAAAACAGAUAUACUCAUAUGUAUAUAUACAGCACCAAAUUCAGUUUAGGGAAUUAAAGAAAUAAGAACUCCUGAAUUGUGCCUUCCUGAAAUCCAAAUACAUAGUCCAGAAUCUUCAUGUAUGACAGUCUCUAAACUGCAC